GACGAACGCUGGCGGCGUGCUUAACACAUGCAAGUCGAACGAAGUGGCGAACGGGUGAGUAACGCGUACUCAACCUGCCCUUCGAAGGGGGACAACAGUUGGAAACGACUGCUAAUACCGCAUACUGAAGGAGGGGAUGGCGUUUGAUUAGCUAGUUGGAGGGUUAACGGCCCACCAAGGCGAUGAUCGGUAGCCGGGUCGUGGGGAUGAACGGCCACAACGGGACUUGGACACGGGUCAAACUUCUAAGGGAGGCAGCAGUGGGGAAUCUUCCGCAAUGGACCAAAGUCUGACGGAGCAACGGCGCGUGAGGGAUGACGGCCUUCGGGUUGUAAAGCUCUGUUAAGCGGGACGCGGUACCUGAAUAGAAAGCCACGGCUAACUACGUGCCAGCAGCCGCGGUAAUAC
rnacentral:rRNA from 1 species